GGAGAGGUGCUCGAGUGGCUGAAGAGGCACGCCUGGAAAGCGUGUAACCGGCAAAACUGGUUCGGGGGUUCGAAUCCCCCUCUCUCCGCAA
rnacentral:tRNA from 1 species